rnacentral:rRNA from 1 species
GCAAGUCGAGCGCUACCUUCGGGUGGAGCGGCGGACGGGUUAGUAACGCGUGGGAAUAUACCCUUCUCUACGGAAUAGCCUCGGGAAACUGAGAGUAAUACCGUAUACGCCCUUCGGGGGAAAGAUUUAUCGGAGAAGGAUUAGCCCGCGUAAGAUUAGAUAGUUGGUGGGGUAAUGGCCUACCAAGGCAACGAUCUAUAGCUGGUCUGAGAGGACGAUC